UGACGCAGAAUAGUUUACACACGCUCACGAAAUAUUCAUCUUUAGUAAUUUGCUCUCUCUAACUUCUUCAAACUCAAUUGCACAAUAUCCUUCUUUUAUCACUUAUCAUGGCUUCUACUUCUUCAUCAGCCCCUCCCCGCAAGUAUGAUGUUUUUAUUAGUUUUAGAGGCAAAGAAAUCCGCAAGCGUUUUCUAUCCCAUCUCUUUCAUUCUUUGGUUCGAAAACAAAUCAAAACCUUCUUGGAUGAAAGCCUUGAUAAAGGAGAAGAGAUUUCACCCGCUCUCUUGAAAAUAAUCCAAGAAUCAAGUCUCUCAAUAGUCAUUUUCUCUGAAAAUUACGCAGAUUCUCCAUGGUAUUUGGAUGAGCUUGUGAAGAUACUUGAAUGCAAGGAAACUUUAGGACAAAUAGUCCCACCAGUUUUUUAUGAAGUAGAUCCAACUGACGUUCAAGAGCCGAGAGGAAAAUUUAAGGAGGCAUUUGAUAUUGCUAAGCAUGAAGAACAAGUUAAAGGCAGUCUACAAAAGGUGGAUAAAUGGAAGCAUGCUUUGAUAGAAGUAAGCAACUUUUCUGGAUGGGAUUCACGAGAUAACCCCUUGGAAAUUUGAAAUUAAUGGAUCUUAGCUGCUCUGAGGACCUGAUCAGGAUUUCUGACUUGUCUAGUACUGCCCCAAAUCUUGAGUUUUUAUAUUUGUGUAGAUGUAGAAGUUUGGUUGAGAUUCCAUCAUCUCUUCAAUAUCUAAGCAAGCUUACUGAGCUAUAUCUACAUAGGUGUUAUAAAAUCACAGACUGUCCAAAGAUUCCCUGUGAUGUAAGGAUUCUAAUUUUAGAUGAAACUGGAAAAGAACAACUGCCCUCUAUUGGGUAUUUGUCUAAACUUGUCAAAUUGUCCUUGCGUGGGUGUACAAGACUAGCGAGUCUUCCAAGAAGCAUUGGCAAUUUGAAACAUCUUGAAGAACUUGAUCUCCGUGAAUGCUUACCAAGUCUUCCAGAAAGCAUCAAACAACUUUCGGAAUUAAAACUGCUUUAUUUAAAUGGUUGCAAGAGACUUAAAUGUUUACCAGAGCUUCCAUCAUGCUUAGAAGACUUAAAUGCAUCAGAUUGCAGCUCUUUGGAAUCUGCAUCAUCAUUCCUUUUCCAAGAUGAUAAUAAGUUUUACAAUCUUGUGUUUGAUAAUUGCGUCAAUCUUGAAAAGAAUAAAGUCAUGGAGGAUGUUUUCGAAGCGCAUCUGUUGGGUCAGACAGUUUUUUUACAUAUGGCAGGAGGUGAAGUACCAGAAAGGAUGAGAUAUAAGAAUCAAAGUGGAUCCUUGCUUACAUUCAUACUUGACCUUCGUCACUUAAUUGCCUUCUCUUUCUGCGCUGUUCUUCGUCCCACAAAUUAUUCUUAUCGUCUUCCGAACGACAUUAUAAGUAGUGAGUUGUAUUACAGAGAUAAAUCUGGACAUUUGCAUAGUCAUAGAUUCUUUUUCUUUGAUUAUCGGCAGGAUUUUCAGUAUUCAUCAGAACACUUGUGGCUUUGGUUCAGUCAUAAUAAUUUCAACUAUUUUGAUGAAGAUGGUUUCGUUCUGGUCGCAUUUCACUUCCACAUUCAGGCCUUGGCAUUAUCUAGUGACGAGUGGAUAAUUAAGUGCGGGGUCCAUCCUAUAUACGAACAUGAGGAUGGCGAAGAAGGCAAACCUCCUCUUGAAAGAUUGGAACAAAAUGACUUUCUGAAUCAUAGGAGGAGGACAAGGAAGAGGAACCAAACCUCCUCUAUCAAAUUCUAAAUCUCUGUCUUAUACCUCUUCCUCUUCAUGGUUGCCUAAGCCUGACCAAAGCAAACGCAAAACCAAAAACAGCUCCACCAACACAUUCUUCGGUUCUCCAGUACUCAAAAGCUCAGACAAUAUACAAUUUGCUGCUCCAUAUUCUAUUUGUUAAAGCUUAAAUCUUCCAAUUACACAUUUAUGGGUUUUAUUACUUCACUUUCUCAUUUCAUGUAUGCCAUUAUUACGUGACACGUAGGAAUUGUUGUACAUAAAACAAUUAUAAUAUAACCAUUGACCAUGGUGAAUCCCAUCAUAAUUUAUUGUCAAAAUCUAUCCAUUAUAUAUACAACAAUUGUAUGGAAUAAUUUCUCAUUGUGAUAUAUAUAGGGAAGAAAGUUCUGAUAAUGUCAUAAUGAUUUGUAUAUAUAUUAUGCAAGUGAUGCCUG